UCAGCCUGUAGUACUCAAACUGUGGGGGCACUUUUUGUUCUGGAAUAAAGUGCCGCCAGGUUCUGGGCAUUACCGGUUGA
rnacentral:pre_miRNA from 1 species